rnacentral:rRNA from 1 species
ACGGCUCAGUAACACGUGGACAACCUGCCCUAUGCUCUGGGAUAACCUCGGGAAACUGAGAAUAAUACCGGAUAGAUCACAACGCCUGGAACGGUGUGUGGUUGAAAGGUUACGGCAUAGGAUGGGUCUGCGGCGUAUCAGGUUGUAGGGGGUGUAAUGGACCCCCUAGCCAUCGACGCGUACGGGUGUUGGGAGACAUAGCCCGGAGGCGGAUUCUGAGACACGAAUCCGGACCCUACGGGGUGCAGCAGGCGCGAAAACUUCACACUGCAGGAAACUGUGAUGAGGGAACUCCAAGUGGAUGCACAUAGUGUAUCUCUUUUCUUUACUAUUAAUCGGUAUUGGAAUAAGGGCUGGGAAAGACCGGUGCCAGCCGCCGCGGUAAUACCGGCAGCUCGAUUGGUCGUCGCUUUUAUUGGGCCUAAAACGUCCGUAGCCGGUUUGGUAAAUCUGUGGGUAAUCAACUAGCUUAACUAGUUGAAUUCUGCAGAGACUGCCAGACUAGGAACCGGGAGAGGUGUGGGGUACUCAAGGGGUAGGGGUAAAAUCCUGUCAUCCUUUGAGGACCACCAGUUGCGAAGGCGCCACACUAGAACGGAUUCGACGGUCAGGGACGAAGCCUAGGGGCACGAACCGGAUUAGAUACCCGGGUAGUCCUAGGUGUAAACGCUGUGAACUUGGUGUCGGGAGUCCGCAAUGGGCCCCCGGUGCCGGAGUGAAGAUGCUAAGUUCACUGCCUGGGGAGUACGGUCGCAAGGCUGAAACUUAAAGGAAUUGGCGGGGGAGCAC